rnacentral:RNase_P_RNA from 1 species
CAAGACAGCCAGACUAUCGCAGCCCGCAAGGGAUGAGGAAAGUCCGAGCACCGCAAGGCAGAGCGCCGGCUAACUACCGGUCAAGGCGACUUGAAGGAAAGUGCAACAGAAAUAGACCGCCGAUGAAAGUCGGUAAGGAUGGAAAGGCGGUGUAAGAGACCACCGUC